CGCUGGCGGCGCGCUUAAUACAUGCAAGUCGAACGAGAAGCCAGAGCUUGCUCUGGUGGAAAGUGGCGAACGGGUGAGUAACACGUGAGAAACCUGCCCCAAAGACUGGGAUAAGCCUUGGAAACGAGGUCUAAUACCGGAUACCUUCUUUUUAUCUCCUGAUAUGAAGAAGAAAGCUCCGGCGCUUUGGGAUGGUCUCGCGUCCUAUCAGCUUGUUGGUGAGGUAAAAGCUCACCAAGGCAACGACGGGUAGCUGGUCUGAGAGGAUGUCCAGCCACACUGGAACUGAGAUACGGUCCAGACUCCUACGGGAGGCAGCAGUAGGGAAUCUUGCACAAUGAGGGAAACCUUGAUGCAGCGACGCCGCGUGCGGGACGAAGGCCCUAGGGUUGUAAACCGCUUCAGUUGGGACGAAAGUGACGGUACCAACAGAAGAAGCCCCGGCCAACUAUGUG
rnacentral:rRNA from 1 species